ACUUCAUUAAUCUGAAAGUGGUUCACUUCUUUAAUCACUGGAAGUUUUAUUUCUGAGUGCUUGCAUGGUAGAUGUACUAAUUGUAAAGAGUUUCCUUACACAUUAUAUUGUGCAAAGGAAUAGUAUCUUUAUUUAAAUGAACAGCAGUGCUUUUCUUAUUAUACCAAGAAGUGCAGCACUGGAAGCUAUCUGAAGGAAUAUAUUCACGGAUCUUUAUUAAUGAUGCUGGUAACACUGUCAUCAAAUAGGCAUGUGACAUUUUAUCCCUGUCUUAGAGAUGGUGUAACUGAGGCCCAAUUGAGAUAUAUACUUGCUAAAAGAGAGGUCAUAAGUCUCAAACCUGUAUCUGUCCAUCUGCCAAACUGCAGCAGUUUGGUGGGCUUGAACUGCACCUACCUGAAGUAGUGGUGUUCUUUAAUCACCUUUUAUGAUUAAAGCAACUUAUUAGUUUUUCAGUAUGUUCUCACAGCUUGUCUUUUAGUCAUCUUCAUAAUAUGUUUUACAGGGAUAUUUCCAGCAAGGAUCUGUGCACAGGCAGCAAGCUAGGAGGAAAUGGCUGAGUGCUUUCCAGAAACUACGUAACAUAUUUCAAGAGGAUGCUCCACUUGCUCUCAUAGAGGAAGCAUCCGCUGAGCUUCUUGAGACAGACAUUAAUACUACUGAGAUAAUACUCUGGAAUGUGAAGACCACAGGCAUAUGGCCAAGUUACUUUCAGUUCAUCUUGGAGGAUAAAAGCUUGCGAUCGAUUUGAACACCAGCAUACAAUUAUUCCAGGUUAUGAAGGAGUACAUUAUACUGUGAUCAUCAAACUCCAGCUGCUGCAGGAAAGGAUAAAAGUAGUCCUACUUGCAGGUCUAUAAAACUGACUAUUAUACUGGUACUGCUUCUAUUUCUCAUCUUUCUCCAGUAAUAGAUGGCAUGGUAGUAUUGAACAUUUACAAGGCAAAAUUUCUAAGUAGGCAAUAAUGUAGGAAUGUAACGGGCUGCAACUCUAGUAGUUUUUAUAUUAUCUUGGUUUUGAGAAAUGAUGGGUACUUUCUCCUUUUAAAUAGAAUAUUGAGGGCUUUAACUUUGCUAUCUGAUAAGGUCAAAAGGAGCCUUGGAAUAAUUCUGUGUCUGCCCAGCAGCAGCUGACAGACUAGGGAGCAAGCAGCCUCCCCUGCAUUCUCUCUGCACUGGGCAGCAGGAUCUAUGAUUCUGGUUACCAAUCCCUCCCUGUCUCAGCCACCAGGCUAUCCAAGCUAUUUAAAUGGCUCCAAUAAAGUAUUCCUCAGACAAUUAAAGGCAUUCUUCAAGGCCUGAAAAGCACAUAGUCCAGAGAGGACAAGGUCAAAAAUAGUCAAAGACCAAGAAAACAGAACUAAGUAAAUAACAGCACCAGAUAAUCUUCAUGCCAAUAGCAGAAAACUGGGAGGUUUUGUUGUUGCUUAUCACAGGUCCCUUUUUCUUCUAGACUUUUUAUGUCCAUUUAUAUUCACUUCCAAAUGAUAACCUAUGAAUUGUUAACCUCAAACAGUAACAAAGCAUUAUCUCCAUACAAGCACUAAAGGGUCUCAUAGCUUCUCUGGCACAACUAUGGAUGCUGGGACACCUGUGGGCAAAUAAAUUGCACAACUUCCAUGCACUUCCCUCUCCUCUACAUUAAAACAAACUACCCCCCCCACCCGCCAAAAAAAAAAAGACAACAAAACAAAAUAAAUCGCCCCAA